rnacentral:lncRNA from 1 species
UAAGUAAAAUGGUAAAUGGUUUUAUUUUAAAUAAAUGUAUUGGUUUAAAUCUAAUGCUCCAUUAGUUAUUUUUUAUUUUCUACCAAUCUUUAUUUCUGUGUCGGUGAUAUAGUGUGAUGUCCUUACUGGUCUAGUGUAACUCAUCCCUUAUUUAACCAUUUCAGAUUAAGAGAACCUGGUUUCCGAGUCCGAUCCGCAAGAAGAUUGCGAGUAGAUACUAGAUACUUUAUAUUUUCCUUUAUUUUUCUCAUUUAUCGCGUUUCUUUGAGAGAAUUUAUUUCGUGAUGUUUGUUUAGUACUUUUAAGUUAUUGUAUUAGGGAUGUAAAUCUUAAUCUUUUAUUUUACUUCCACACUUAAAUUAUUAUAUAUUUCUUUUUGGAUUUCCAA